rnacentral:misc_RNA from 1 species
GAAAUGCGAUAAGUAAUGUGAAUUGCAGAAUUCAGUGAAUCAUCGAAUCUUUGAACGCACAUUGCGCCCGCCAGUAUUCUGGCGGGCAUGCCUGUCCGAGCGUCAUUUCAACCAUCAAGCCCCCGGGCUUGUGUUGGGGACCUGCGGCUGCCCGCAGGCCCUGAAAACCAGUGGCGGGCUCGCUGUCACACCGAGCGUAGUAGCAAUCACCUCGCUCAGGGCGUGCUGCGGGUUCCGGCCGUUAAACAGCCUUACAACACCCAAGGUUGACCUCGGAUCAGGUAGGAAGACCCGCUGAACUUAAGC